rnacentral:rRNA from 1 species
GUAGGUGGCAAGCGUUGUCCGGGAAUUAUUGGGCGUAAAGCGCGCGCAGGCGGUUCUUUAAGUCUGAUGUGAAAGCCCACGGGCUCAACCGUGGAGGGUCAUUGGAAACUGGAGAACUUGAGUACAGAAGAGGAAAGCGGAAUUCCACGUGUAGCGGUGAAAUGCGUAGAGAUGUGGAGGAACACCAGUGGCGAAGGCGGCUUUCUGGUCUGUAACUGACGCUGAGGCGCGAAAGCGUGGGGAGCAAACAGGAUUAGAUACCCUGGUAGCCCACGCCGUAAGCGAUGAGUGCUAAGUGUUAGGGGGUUUCCGCCCCUUAGUGCUGCAGCUAACGCAUUAAGCACUCCGCCUGGGGAGUACGGCCGCAAGGCUG